UUCCUGGUGGCUCAGAUGGUAAAGAAUCUGCCUACAAUGCAGAAGACCUGGGUUCAAGCCCUUGGUUGGAAA
rfam:Ovis aries breed Texel chromosome 14, whole genome shotgun sequence.